UACGUAGGUGGCAAGCGUUGUCCGGAAUUAUUGGGCGUAAAGCGCUCGCAGGCGGCCUUUUAAGUCUGAUGUGAAAUCUUGCAGCUUAACUGCAAGCGGUCAUUGGAAACUGGAGGGCUUGAGUGCAGAAGAGGAGAGUGGAAUUCCACGUGUAGCGGUGAAAUGCGUAGAGAUGUGGAGGAACACCAGUGGCGAAGGCGACUCUCUGGUCUGUAACUGACGCUGAGGAGCGAAAGCGUGGGUAGCGAACAGG
rnacentral:misc_RNA from 1 species